rnacentral:misc_RNA from 1 species
UCCGGUUUGUCACCGGCAGUCUCCCUAGAGUGCCCAACUGAAUGAUGGCAACUAAGGACAAGGGUUGCGCUCGUUGCGGGACUUAACCCAACAUCUCACGACACGAGCUGACGACAGCCAUGCAGCACCUGUCUCCGGUCCAGCCGAACUGAAGAACUCCGUCUCUGGAGUCCGCGACCGGGAUGUCAAGGGCUGGUAAGGUUCUGCGCGUUGCGUCGAAUUAAACCACAUGCUCCACCGCUUGUGCGGGCCCCCGUCAAUUCCCUUGAGUUUUAAUCUUGCGACCGUACUCCCCAGGCGGAAUGCUUAAAGCGUUAGCUGCGCCACUGACGAGCAAGCUCGACAACGGCUAGCAUUCAUCGUUUACGGCGUGGACUAC